UUUGCUCAUCAUUGAGCCAUCCAAUUUCAUCUUUAGAAGCUAAAACAUCCAAGCUCAUGUGAUGAUAAUUAUAACCAUACUUGUAUUUAAAGUGGGAAGCAACCAACGGAAGAUUGUGGUAGCAUAAAUCACCAAGUCAUCUAAUCUCAUUUAGAUUGUAUGAAAACAACAUGGAAGCCUUUGAAGUUGAGUGUGUUUAUUUGCUAAUCCUCCCCUUCCCCCUACAUGCACAUCUCACGAUGUUUCUUAGAACUGUUUGGACAGGAAGUCCUAUUUUUUCCAGGAAUUUUUAUUUUAAAAAUAAUAAGUUCAGCGUCUGUGCUAUAAAUCAGCAUUCAAUUGGUCAACAGCAAACCAUCUUAACUACCACGAUUGCCCCAAAUUCUGCAGCACACUGAAAUGGACAAGAUGUUUUUCUGACUGUUGAUGAUGAACUAGUAAGAAAGGAAACCCAAGACAGCUAUCCUGCUUGUAGUACAGCUGAGAGGAUAUAGGAAUGGCUAGAAAACAGGGCAGCAUUUGUCUUCAAAACAAUCUACUACCUCCUAAAAGCUUGGGUGUGUGUGUGUGUGUCUUUGUGUGUGUUGUAUUUUUGUAACAGAUUCUAAUUUGCUUUCUUUCAUUUCAUGUAGAAAGAAGACUUAAGAGGUGAUCUGUUCUUUAAAAGUUAAGUACACAACAGAGUAUUGUUGGCUAUGCUGCGUAGCAAAUCACCAGGGCUUAUUCAUCUUACUUGACUGAAAUUUUAUUUCCAUUUCCCCUUUCCUUCGACCUUAAACCACCAUUCUAUCCUCUGAUUCUACAACUUGGGCUAUUUUGGGCAUCUCAUUUAGCCAAAAUUGGGCAAUAUUUGUCUUUCUGUGACUGGCUUAUUUCGUUUAACAUAAUGUCCUCAAGAUUCUUUUGCAUUGCAAAAUUCAUUUCUUUCUUUGGUUCUUUUUUUUUUUUUAACAGAACUGAGGCUUACAUUCAGGGCUUCACCCUUUCUAAGCCAGAGCUCUAGCACUUGAGCUUUGCUCCAGACCUUUUUGCCUUUAUUUAUUUUUUUAAAUAGAAUUUCACAAUUUCUUUCUCUUUUUUUCUGGGGGCAGCCCCAGACUCUGAUCCUUCCAUCUCUGCCUCCCAACGUGCUGUGUUUACAGGUAUCACCCCUGUAGAGUGCUUGCCAAAAGCCUUGAAUUUCAACCCCAGUGCCACCAAAAAUGAAGUAAAAAGAAGUAAAGACUGAUUCUCAGCCCAUUGUUCAAACACACCACAUUUUCUUUAUCCAUUCCCUUCUCAGCAGAUAGGAGGUCAUUUCCACAUCUUGAUGACAACAAUCAGUGCUUCAACAAACACAGCAGGGCUAAUAUGUUGUCAAAAUCCUGACUUCAGUUCUGUUGUAUAAAUACCCAGGGAGGGAUUGCUGGAGCCUAUCAUAGUUGCUAUUUUUUUUUUUAUCUUGAGAAACUCCUUCACUGUUUUCAAUAGCAGCUUCACCCAUAUUUCCAGCCCAAUGAAUAUACACGAUUACAGUUUC